CACAGAGCCGGGAGAGGCCGACGCUUUACUUCUGUGGCUGCCCCAGGCCUGGCCCUGCCUCCGGGUGCAAGGGCAUUGUGGCAAACAGGUCCCUCCCGAGCUAACACCCGUCCUGGCUCAGGAGGCCCUUCAAGCUCCUGGGUUACCCUGUAGGGAGGUGUGGCAGCGGGGGCAGGCUCUGAGCUCCCCUGAGGCUGCCAGGACCCCUGGGAGCACCCUGGCCCGGACUCUGCUGAGCACUGACGGGGCACAGCAUGUUCUUGGAGGAAACGGGGUGUGGAGCGGCUCUGCUCGAGCCGAGCAGGAAGAAUCCCCUCGUGGAGCCCCAGCUGGGGGACGAAGGUCACCAUCCACCUGGCCUGGGCAGCCAUAAAGCCUGCCUACUCCUCGUGGCUUGGAGUCCCCACCCCUGCAUCCAGCCCAGGCUUCACCGAGCUCCUCCCGGGGCCCUGGCUCGGGACCCUCUGGGUGCUUCCUGAGAGCAGAGGAGCUUAGGGUCCUCAGACUGCUUGUGGGGCCGGCCACAGGGAAGGGCUGGCUGUAGGCCAGGGUGGCCCACCGGUCACAUCAGAGCUCAUCGUAAACAGCAAAGCAGGAGAAGCAGCACCAGGGUGAGCCCGAGAGCUGGGCAGUCGCCACUCUGCCUGGCGGCCAACAGCACCUUGACUAGCACAAGCCCCAGACCUCAGCCUCAGGCCCGUCCUCAACGCCCAGCCAGGGGACACUCUGUCGGCAUGCGAGGCCUUGCCCAACAGGGCCGCCUGGGCUGACACCUGGGACGUGCUCUCACAGCUCCUGUCCACCUGCCUGGCCGGGAUGGCGCAGCAAGGCUGCCGGCGGUGAAGGGUUGGCGAGCCCCGUUGUGCGGUGGUCGGCACCCGCCAGGGCAGAAUUACCUUGCAAAUAUCCCAGGUUUACCCGAUUCAUGACAUCACUGGCUGUUAAAUUUGCUACGUCCUCUACAGAACACACAGAAAGAGGCACAGACAGAAAGAGAGAGAGAGAGAAUAUCAGCAAGCGAGGCCAGCCCAGCCCAGUCACCCGUGAGCAGCUCCUGGGCCAGCCGUGAGCUCCUGACUCUGCUCAGGGGACUCAAGACCCCGACCCAGGUGACAGACGCAGGAAGCAGGGUUGGGAGACGGGGCACUCCGACGGGACAGAGGCAGCCCUGAGCAUCAGAUGAGCCCUGAUCCCUCUUGCAAACACACCCUUUGGAGGCCCCGAACCUGGGGAACGUGGGGUGCCAGAGCCUGUGGGUCGUGGG
rnacentral:lncRNA from 1 species